UACGAAGGGGGCUAGCGUUGCUCGGAAUUACUGGGCGUAAAGCGCACGUAGGCGGAUUGUUAAGUCGGGGGUGAAAUCCUGGAGCUCAACUCCAGAACUGCCUUCGAUACUGGCGAUCUCGAGUUCGGGAGAGGUGAGUGGAACUGCGAGUGUAGAGGUGAAAUUCGUAGAUAUUCGCAAGAACACCAGUGGCGAAGGCGGCUCACUGGCCCGAUACUGACGCUGAGGUGCGAAAGCAUGGGGAGCGAACAGG
rnacentral:rRNA from 1 species